rnacentral:rRNA from 1 species
GACUACCCGCUGAAUUUAAGCAUAUUAAUAGGCGGAGGAAAAGAAACUAACAAGGAUUCCCCAAGUAGCGGCGAGCGAACAGGGAAGAGCCCAGCACGGCAAUCCCGCGCGGCAACGCGCAGGGAGAUGUCGUGUGUGGGAGGUUCCGCUUUACCGGGGGUCGGCUGCCGAGUCCAAGUCUCCCUUGAACGGGGCCACAGCCCGCAGAGGGUGCCAGGCCCGUAGAGACCGGUGCCGCUCCCGAGAGGAGCUCUCCUCAGAGUCGUGUUCCUUGAGAGUGGAGCACCAAGUGGGUGGUAAACUCCAUCUAAGGCUAAAUACGACCACGAGACCGAUAGCGAACAAGUACCGUGAGGGAAAGUUGAAAAGAACUUGGAAGAGAGAGUUCAACAGUACGUGAAAUCCGUUCAGGGGUAAACGGGAGAGAUCCGAAAAGUCGAAAGGGGGUGACUCAGCCUCGUCCGCGCUCGGCGCCCAAGUCGGCCGUCUUGGGAUGCUUCCGGCCGCCGGUCGCGCCGCAAGGCGCGCGCCGUGUCCGUUUCGGAGGCACCCGGGUCGCGGGUUUCAUGUCGUUUGCGGCGAGGUGCAUUUCUCCCCCCGAGUAGGACGUCGCGACCCGUUGGGCACCGGUCUACGGCCCGGGAAGAGUCCCGAGGCGUCCUCCGAGCUCUUUGGCUCGGGUUCAAGGGCGCCCGGAUCCCGGUUCUCGCCCGGCCGGAGCUCGACGGUAUGGUGCGCGGAGAAGGCCCGCUAUUCGUAGCGAGCGUCCUGGCCCGGUGGGCAAGCUCUUCGGGAGGCAUUUCGCGGUGCCGUGGCGAACGCCACGUCCCCGGCCCCCGUCGGCUGUUGGCCCCCGGAGUCCUCGGACGGUAGCCAUCUCCCGUCGGCGGCAGCUUGAGCUUCGGAUGCUUUCCCGAACCGUCUUGAAACACGGACCAAGGAGUCUAACAUGUGCGCGAGUCACUGGGCUUUCUAAACCCAGAGGCGCAGUGAAAGCGGCAGGCGCGUCCGAUGCGGAUUGGUUCUUCCUUUCCCUUCGCGGCGCGCCGUUUUUAGGGAGGAUGGCUGAUAAAUUCAGCCCGCACUCCCGGGGCGCAUCGGCUUCGGCCGCAGGCGCACCCAGAGCGUACACGUUGGGACCCGAAAGAUGGUGAACUAUGCCUGGUCAGGACGAAGUCAGGGGAAACCCUGAUGGAGGUCCGCAGCGAUUCUGACGUGCAAAUCGAUCGUCAGAGCUGGGUAUAGGGGCGAAAGACUAAUCGA